CUUGUAUAUGCCGGCGGGUAGUCUCUAGACGAGUGGAUUCGCCUGCAUUUGCUUGGGUCUCAUCGUCAAGGAUGUCGAUAAUCUCCCCAGCAGCUUUGCGGUCAUGGGUGCUCGAUAGGUUUGCUCGGGAAGGUUGGCCGACGUCGGGGCGGAGAAUGGAAUCUAGUAAAAGUCAAGGUCAGUGGCAGAUUCCAGCUAGAUUUAAAAAAAAAAAAAAAAAAACCGAUGUCAGCGAAGUGGACUUACCUAGACCAAAGAUAGGGGCGCUUGUCAUAGGGGAGAACUGAAGUGCCUCAUCAACCGACAAUGCUUUGGCAAGCCGUUCGCCAGCACCAUUGGAGUUGGAGACGCCAUGGCCAGAAAUGACCACCUGAAUGCUCGGGUUACGAGCUUGUUGCAUAGCGGAAAUCUUACCAGGAGAUAUGCCUGGCAGAUGUGGGUGAUAGGGUCAAUCUCCAAAAUCCCCCUGUACUCAUAGCUAGCAGGACUCGGGAGUUGGAAUCAUGGUCAAUCAAGGCUGGUUGUGUUCGUGGUCAUGACGCUUAACUCACACGCCAAUGCAUGACGCCGCAAUUUUGCCGCGCUCGGCUCCACCUGGAUUAGCGCUCAGCAUUUACCUUUUUGACAAGGCUGAUAUAACUUACUGCCCUCGCUAGCAUGGAAAACAUGAGAUGGUGGAAAUGUUAAUAGAUAUUUUUUUUAGGCCCA
rnacentral:sRNA from 1 species